GACGAACGCUGGCGGCGUGCUUAACACAUGCAAGUCGAACGGAAAGGCCCUGCUUUUGUGGGGUGCUCGAGUGGCGAACGGGUGAGUAACACGUGAGUAACCUGCCCUUGACUUUGGGAUAACUUCAGGAAACUGGGGCUAAUACCGGAUAGGAGCUCCUGCUGCAUGGUGGGGGUUGGAACGUUUCGGCGGUCGGGGAUGGACUCGCGGCUUAUCAGCUUGUUGGUGGGGUAGUGGCUUACCAAGGCUUUGACGGGUAGCUGGCCUGAGGGGGUGACUGGCCACAUUGGGACCGAGGGGCGGCCGAGACGGCUACGGUAGGCAGCAGUGGGGAAUAUUGCACAAUGGGAGGAAGCCUGAUGCAGCAACGCCGCGUGCGGGAAGACGGCCUUCGGGGUGUAAACCGCUUUCGCCUGUGACGAAGCGGGAGUGACGGUAAUGGGUAAAGAAGCACCGGCUAACUACGUG
rnacentral:rRNA from 1 species